rnacentral:tRNA from 1 species
UAGGGAGACCUACCCUUGCUUACUCCGAAGAUAAAGUAUUGAGGAGAAGUAAGAGGUCACUCUAGGUCGUUCGGGAUUCAAGGAAUGGUUCUCAAACUAAUGUCGAGGGCUGAGAUGGGCUAUUAGCUCAGGUGGUUAGAGCGCACCCCUGAUAAGGGUGAGGUCCCUGGUUCGAGUCCAGGAUGGCCCACUGCGUGGGGGUUUAGCUCAGUUGGUAGAGCGCCUGCUUUGCAAGCAGGAUGUCAGCGGUUCGAGUCCGCUAACCUCCACCAAAGCGAAGAGAGAGAGCUUAGCAUAGUGAGCGUUGAGCUUACUCUGCUGAGUUGUCAAGACUCAGUAAGAACCUUGAAAACUGCAUAGAGCAACGAGAGCUCAAAAGGUAGUAGGUCACCAAUGUGAUGUGU